rfam:Cerapachys biroi unplaced genomic scaffold scaffold104, whole genome shotgun sequence.
CAAUCGGUUCUUUUCAGAACCAAAUAUUAAGACAAGGAACUUGCAAU